GACGAACGCUGGCGGCGUGCUUAACACAUGCAAGUCGAACGGAAAGGCCCUGCUUUUGUGGGGUGCUCGAGUGGCGAACGGGUGAGUAACACGUGAGUAACCUGCCCUUGACUUUGGGAUAACUUCAGGAAACUGGGGCUAAUACCGGAUAGGAGCUCCUGCUGCAUGGUGGGGGUUGGAAAGUUUCGGCGGUUGGGGAUGGACUCGCGGCUUAUCAGCUUGUUGGUGGGGUAGUGGCUUACCAAGGCUUUGACGGGUAGCCGGCCUGAGAGGGUGACCGGCCACAUUGGGACUGAGAAACGGCCCAGACUCCUCCGGGAGGCAGAAGUGGAGAAUAUAGCAGAAUGGGCGGAGGCCGGAUGCAGCAACGCCGCGUGCGGGAAGACGGCCUUCGGGUUUGACACCGCUUUCGCCUGUGACGAAGCGUGAGUGACGGUAAUGGGUAAAGAAGCACCGGCUAACUACGU
rnacentral:rRNA from 1 species